CCAAGAGUGACACUGAGUGUGGACCCCUCUCCCCAGUGUCGCCAAGAGUGACACUGAGUGUGGACCCCUCUCCCCAGGGUAGCUAAGAGUGACACUGAGUGUGGACCCCCCUCCCCAGUGUCGCCAAGAGUGACACCGAGUGUGGACCCCCCUCCCCAGUGUCGCCAAGAGUGACACUGAGUGUGGAUCCUUCCCCAGUGUAGCCAAGAGUGACACUGAGUGUGGCCCCUUCCCCAGUGUAGCCAAGAGUGACACCGAGUGUGGCCCCUCCCCAGUGUAGCCAAGAGUGACACCGAGUGUGGCCCCUUCCCCAGUGUAGCCAAGAGUGACACCGAGUGUGGAUCCCUCCCCAGUGUAGCCAAGAGUGACACCGAGUGUGGACCCUUCCCCAGUGUCGCCAAGAGUGACACCGAGUGUGGACCCCCCUCCCCAGUGUGGCCAAGAGUGACACUGAGUGUGGACCCCUCUCCCCAGGGUAGCUAAGAGUGACACCGAGUGUGGACCCCCCUCCCCAGUGUCGCCAAGAGUGACACCGAGUGUGGACCCCCCUCCCCAGUGUAGCCAAGAGUGACACCGAGUGUGGACCCCCCUCCCCAGUGUAGCCAAGAGUGACACCGAGUGUGGACCCCCCUCCCCAGUGUAGCCAAGAGUGACACUGAGUGUGGAUCCCUCCCCAGUGUAGCCAAGAGUGACACCGAGUGUGGACCCCCCUCCCCAGUGUAGCCAAGAGUGACACUGAGUGUGACCCCUUCUCCAGUGUAGCCAAGAGUGACACCGAGUGUGACCCCUCCCCAGGGUAGCCAAGAGUGACACCGAGUGUGGAUCCCCCCCCCAGUGUAGCCAAGAUGACACUGAGUGUAGAUCCCUCUCCCCAGUGUAGCCAAGAGUGACACUGAGUGUGGACCCCUCUCCCCAGUGUCGCCAAGAGUGACACUGAGUGUGGACCCCUCUCCCCAGGGUAGCUAAGAGUGACACUGAGUGUGGACCCCCCUCCCCAGUGUCGCCAAGAGUGACACCGAGUGUGGACCCCCCUCCCCAGUGUCGCCAAGAGUGACACUGAGUGUGGAUCCUUCCCCAGUGUAGCCAAGAGUGACACUGAGUGUGGCCCCCUCCCCAGUGUAGCCAAGAGUGACACUGAGUGUGGAUCCCCCCCCAGUGUAGCCAAGAGUGACACUGAGUGCGGACCCCCCCUCCCCAGUGUAGCCAAGAGUGACACUGAGUGUGGAUCCCUCCCCAGUGUAGCCAAGAGUGACACUGAGUGUGGAUCCCUCCCCAGUGUAGCCAAGAGUGACACUGAGUGCGGACCCCCCUCCCCAGUGUAGCCAAGAGUGACACUGAGUGUGGAUCCCUCCCCAGUGUAGCCAAGAGUGACACUGAGUGUGGAUCCCUCCCCAGUGUAGCCAAGAGUGACACUGAGUGCGGACCCCCCUCCCCAGUGUAGCCAAGAGUGACACUGAAUGUGGAUCCCUCCCCAGUGUAGCCAAGAGUGACACUGAAUGUGGAUCCCUCCCCAGUGUAGCCAAGAGUGACACUGAGUGUGGAUCCCUCCCCAGUGUAGCCAAGAGUGACACUGAGUGUGGUACCCCCAAGUCUAUGAAGCUGUUAGAGAAUGAGAGAUGUGCAUGCUGCUGCCUUCCUGGUCACCGGAAACUAAAGGACCACUUGUUCCAGACCCACUAUACAUGAGUUAUCAAGUCACGUGCUUGCAGACCCACCCAGACGUGAUUUUCUCUGAGCCAGUUCCUCCUCUCUAGGCAUGUUCAUAGUAAUCUCAGGGUGCUCGUGGAUGGGGAAAACAGUAAAGGUAUUAGGCUACAGAUUUAAUAUACCAGGGUUGUAAAAAACUCCAAGCAGUUGCGAAAGAGGAAAUUUCAGUCGUGUUUUAAGAAAGUUGGCCCAGGCAAAUGGCAUUUAUCCAUCAGUAAUUAUCUUUUAUUUCAUUAACUAGAUUUAUGCCAAUCACAUGUUCUGAUCAAAAUAGUUGAGAGUAUGAUUGACUCCCCUCUAACUUAAUUCAUAUGUACCAUCGUUUAGUUUUUUUUUCUGAAUAUUGAAAGACCUCCAUUUCUAAUUCUUAA
ensembl:lncRNA